AUCAGCCACGGCGCGUUGAAUACGUUCUCGGGUCUUGUACUCACCGCCCGUCACACCACGAAAGUUGGCAGUACCCGAAGGCUCCGCAAGGGGACUAAGGUAAGGUCAGUGAUCAGGGUGAAGUCGUAACAAGGCAUCCGUAGCGGAAGCUGUGGAUGGAUCACCUCCUUUCUGGAGU
rnacentral:rRNA from 1 species